GCCCUUUUAGCACAUGCUCUGGUCUCCAGUACUGUAGCAAGGCAAUCUCCUUCUCCUGGACAAGUACUUUAAAAUCUAUGUAGGUAAAAAAAUACUGCACUUUUCUAGGUGCCCUGCCUGGGUAUCAUUUACUGGUGAACAUAAACAUUACCAAGCAAGCAAGGCUGUGUUUUUCAGGGCUACUGAAAUGUAUCCAUUACCCUUGUCUGAAUUAGCAGCUUCAGGGCAAUGUCCCAUCCAUGCUCUGAAAGUACCAGAAAGGCAGCGGCGCUGAACUGAUCUGAGCACCAGCAGCACUUGGCAUUUUCCCCAGAGCUGUCUGAGCAAACAAGGCAAAGGGGAAAAAGCCUGUCCCUCCCUCUCUCCACCUGCCCAGUGACUCAGAACAACUAGAAAUGGCAGCUUAACUCUCAGAACGGAGACCGAUAUAUCCAGCAGUCAGCGUGAGGGCAUCGGGAGUGCCAAGAAAACAGAAAGAAGAACCUUUCUCGAGGUAUGAUGAAGCCAUUUUUUCCCCCUGCUUUUAAAAUGAUCAGGCUGAUAUUUUUGCAUUAUAGAUAUACAAGGACCCAUUCAAGCAGUUACCACAGCCUCAGCCACUCGAAAUGCUGGCAAUCUCGCAGAAAAGCUGCUUCUUAAAUAUGCUUUUCCAAGGAGCGACGAAAACCUGCAAGGGAUGCCUCAACUUCCAAUUUUCUAUAAGACUCAACUGGGCAAAUUCUGACCGAGAAGCGACAAGGAUAAAUCUCCUUCCUUCAGGUAUAACCUGGAAGAUAAUUUAUCUCGCAGCCAGCAGGAUGCUCCCAAGUGCUGCUGGAGCCCUAGCGCACGGUGGGGCAGGGAAAUAAA